rnacentral:rRNA from 1 species
AAUGAACGCUGGCGGCAUGCCUAACACAUGCAAGUCGAACGAAGGCUUCGGCCUUAGUGGCGCACGGGUGCGUAACGCGAGGGAAUCUGCCCCCCGGUUCGGAAUAACAGUUAGAAAUGACUGCUAAUACCGGAUGAUGACGUAAGUCCAAAGAUUUAUUGACGAGGGUUGAGCCCGCGUAGGAUUAGCUAGUUGGUGUGGUUAGAGCGCACCAAGGCGACGAUCCUUAGCUGGUCUGAGAGGAUGAUCAGCCACACUGGGACUGGGACACGGCCCAGACUCCUACGGGAGGCAGCAGUGGGGAAUAUUGGACCAUGGGGGAAAGCCUGAUCCAGCAAUGCCGGGUGAGUGAUGAAGGCCUUAGGGUUGUAAAGCUCUUUUAACCGGGAUGAUCAUGACAGUACCGGGAGAAUAAGCUCCGGCUAACUCCGUG